UGGGAUGGGCUGGGAAUGGACUGGGACGCGGCAACGGGGCUGCUGCUGGGAACCGGUAUGGAGAUACUGGGGAUACUGGGGAUACUGGGAUGGACUGGGAUGGACUGGGUUAUACUGGGGAUACUGGGAUGGACUGGGAUGGACUGGGAUGGACUGGGUUAUACUGGGGAUACUGGGAUGGACUGGGAUGGACUGGGAAUGGACUGGGACGCGGCAACGGGGCUGCUGCUGGGAACUGGUAUGGGACUGGUUAUACUGGGAUAUACUGGGGAUACUGGGAUGGGCUGGGUUAUACUGGGAUGGACUGGGAGGCGGCAACGGGGCUGCUACUGGGAACCGGUAUGGAGAUACUGGGGAUACUGGGAUGGACUGGGAUGGACUGGGAAUGGACUGGGACGCGGCAACAGGGCUGCUGCUGGGAACCGGUAUGGGACUGGUUAUACUGGGAUAUACUGGGGAUACUGGGAUGGACUGGUUAUACUGGGAUGGUUAUACUGGUUAUACUGGGAUGGACUGGGAUGCGGCAACGGGGCUGCUACUGGGAACUGGUAUGGGACUGGGGAUACUGGGAUGGACUGGGAUGGACUGGGAUGGUUAUACUGGGAUGGACUGGUUAUACUGGGAUAUACUGGGAUGGUUAUACUGGGAUGGACUGGGACGCGGCAACGGGGCUCUUACUGGGAACUGGUAUGGAGAUACUGGGGAUACUGGGAGAUACUGGGAUAUACUGGGAUGGACUGGGACGCGGCCACAGGGCUGCUGCUGGGAACCGGUAUGGGACUGGGUUAUACUGGGGAUACUGGGAUGGUUAUACUGGUUAUACUGGGAUGGACUGGGAUGGGCUGGGAUGGACUGGGAUGGACUGGGAUAUACUGGGAUGGACUGGGUUAUACUGGGAUGGACUGGGUAUACUGGGAUGGACUGGGACGCGGCCACGGGGCUGCUACUGGGAACCGGUAUGGAACUGGUUUAUACUGGGAUAUACUGGGAUGGACUGGUUAUACUGGGAUGGACUGGGACGCGGCCACGGGGCUGCUACUGGGAACCGGUAUGGAACUGGGAUAUACUGGUUAUACUGGGAUGGACUGGGAUGGACUGGGUUAUACUGGGAUGGACUGGGACGCGGCCACGGGGCUGCUGCUGGGAACCGGUAUGGGACUGGUUUAUACUGGGAUAUACUGGGAUGGACUGGUUAUACUGGGAUGGUUAUACUGGUUAUACUGGGAUGGACUGGGACGCGGCCACGGGGCUGCUGCUGGGAACCGGUAUGGGGUAUACUGGUUUAUACUGGGAUAUACUGGGAUGGACUGGGACGCGGCCACGGGGCUCUUACUGGGAACCGGUAUGGGGAUACUGGGGAUACUGGGAUAUACUGGUUAUACUGGGAUGGACUGGGAUGGACUGGGACGCGGCCACGGGGCUGCUGCUGGGAACCGGUAUGGAACUGGUUUAUACUGGGAUGUACUGGGUUAUACUGGGAUGGACUGGGACGCGGUCACAGGGCUGUUACUGGGAACCAGUAUGGGCAUACUGGGGAUACUGGGAUGGACUGGGAUGGGCUGGGUUACACUGGUUAUACUGGGAGGGACUGGGAGGGACUGGGUUACACUGGGUAUACUGGGAUGGACUGGGUUAUACUGGGCUGGACUGGGACACGGCGACGGGGCUGUUACUGGGAACCGGUAUGGAACUGGUUAUACUGGGAAUGGAUUGAGUUAUACUGGGUUAUAGUGGUUAUACUGGCAAUGGACUGGGUUACACUGGUCCAUAGUGCUAGAUAUGGAUCUAUACCAGGUUACAUUGGUCCAUACCGGUCCAUACUGGUCCAUACUGGUUUAUACUGGUUUAUACUGGUUUAUACUGGUGUUCCAGCCCUGCAGCUGCACGAGGAGAAGGCGCUGGUGGAGAUCCUGAGCUGCAGCGCUGGGAUACACUGGGAUAUACUGGGAUAUACUGGGUUACACUGGGAUAUACUGGGUUAUACUGGGAUAUACUGGGUUACACUGGGUUAUACUGGGAUAUACUGGGUUACACUGGGUUAUACUGGGUUACACUGGGAUAUACUGGGUUAUACUGGUUUAUACUGGUCCAUACUGGUUCCCAGCCCUGCAGCUGCACGAGGAGAAGGCGCUGGUGGAGAUCCUGAGCUG
rnacentral:lncRNA from 1 species